ensembl:lncRNA
ACGAGAACGAGGGCGUCGUGCCUUUAUAAGACUGCGUUAAUGGCUUUAAUGUUUCCGUGGAGUUAUCCCUUCCGUUGUUGUUUAUUGAUCGUUAAACAUGGCUACAUUUGCAAAGGUAGUUCUGUGUGUCCUCAUUGCUUGUGUCUGUAAUGCAUUCUGUUUUCCUAUGAGAGACCGCCAAAGUGAUGUGGUUGUCACCACAACACCCGAUCCCCACAACCAAACCACAUCUGCCCAUACUGAAGCUGCCAGUGAAGACGCUGUGGACCGCCAAAGUGAUGUGGUUGUCACAACACCCGAUCCCCACAACCAGACUACAUCUGAAGCUGGUGAUGGAGCAAGUGAAGAUGCUGUGGCUACCACCCCAGCACCAAAUCCCCCAAACCAAACUACAUCAGACCACUAAGGACAUCAGUGCAUGUCUGUUUUGAUGGAACACUUUGAAUGUUUGCGCCCCCCUUUUGACAGUGUCGCUUUCUAUUUGUGUGUCCUCAUAAGAUGAUUCAAGUGAGGGUGCUGUGGCUGCCACCCAAACUCCUGAAGUCCAGACUAAAUCUGCCCAAACUGGAACUACUGUAUCCCAUACCACUGACGUCUGAUUCGACUGCUCCUCUGGUAACAAUGACCCGAGUCACUGUCUGGACUUUUUGCCUCUACAUGUUGACUGCAAUAAAGGACAGAUUUGUUUUUUGAAUCAAGUGUUGUCUUGCCUUUUUCAAAUUGAGACCUUGUCCUGUUUUGGUGGUGGAGAUGACUAUAAAGCCUCUUUCCUAACGUAUUUCCUGUAGUGGUUUUACUAUAUGCUUCAUGCAA